AAAACCAAAUACACAAAACCCUUCUUCUUGCCAUUCACGUGAACCUGUAAAAAAAAAAAAAAAAAAAAAAAUCACUCUCGAGCCUCCUCCUUCGUCAGCCGCCGCACCAGGCACCGCCUGGCCGUCGUCGUUGUCACGCCGCCGCUCUCCUCCACUCGUCACCACCGCACCAUCACUGCCACCGUGCACUGCUGUUGCACCGCCCAGCUCGCCGACCAACGUUUUCUAUCAUCCUCUUUCUUGUCUCUUCAUUCUCACGACGGCAGCCAAGCACGAUAGAGUGCGACCACCGUAAUCACCACCACCAGGCUCCAGCCGCGUCGCCCGUCCCCCGCGACCAGCGCCUUGUGCAGCGCCGCCUGUGCUCCGCCGGCCAGCCUCCUCUCUCCCUCUUGAUUUGGCGGAGAAUUCUCUUUAGGCGACUUUUGAAAGUGUUAAAGUGGCCUAUUAGUUGUUUAUGCAAGUCUCUAAGGAUCAAUAAGCAUUGUCCAUCUGCAGGUUUGAAGAUGUUGCAU